UGCCUAACACAUGCAAGUCGAACGGCAGCAUGGCAAAGUGCUUGCACUUUGCUGAUGGCGAGUGGCGGACGGGUGAGUAACGCGUAGGAAUCUACCCUUAAGAUUGGGACAACCCGGGGAAACUCGGGCUAAUACCGAAUAGACACUCUGCGGAGGAAAGCUGGGGACCUGAAAGGGCCUGGCGCUUGAGGAGGAGCCUGCGUCCGAUUAGCUAGUUGGUAGGGUAAAGGCCUACCAAGGCGACGAUCGGUAACUGGUUUGAGAGAAUGACCAGUCACACUGGGACUGAGAGACGGCCCAGACUCCUACGGGAGGCAGCAGUGGGGAAUAUUGGACAAUGGGGGCAACCCUGAUCCAGCCAUGCCGCGUGUGUGAAGAAGGCCUGAGGGUUGUAAAGCUC
rnacentral:rRNA from 1 species